rnacentral:piRNA from 1 species
UGCGGCUAAUCAGUGCUUUAUCACAGGACC